rnacentral:rRNA from 1 species
UACAGAGACUGCAAGCGUUAUUCGGAUUCACUGGGCGUAAAGGGUGCGCAGGCGGCCGUGUGUGUGAGGCGUGAAAGCCCGGGGCUUAACCCCGGAAUUGCACCUCAAACUACAUGGCUAGAGCAUUGGAGAGGGAAGCAGAAUUCAUGGUGUAGCAGUGAAAUGCGUAGAUAUCAUGAGGAAUACCAGAGGCGAAGGCGGCUACCUGGACAAUUGCUGACGCUCAGGCACGAAAGCGUGGGGAGCAAACAGG